UGGGGAGAUAUACUGCUGGGGAGAGGUACUGCUGGGGAGAGGUACUGCUGGGGAGAGGUACUGCUGGGGAGAGAUACUGCUGGGGAGAGGUACUGCUGGGGAGAUAUACUGCUGGGGAGAGGUACUGCUGGGGAGAGGUACUGCUGGGGAGAGAUACUGCUGGGGAGAGGUACUGCUGGGGAGAUAUACUGCUGGGGAGAGGUAAUGGUGGGGAGAGGUAAUGGUGGGGAGAUGUACUGCUGGGGAGAGGUACUGCUGGGGAGAGAUACUGCUGGGGAGAGAUACUGCUGGGGAGAGGCUGGGGAGAGGUACUGCUGGGGAGAGGUACUGCUGGGGAGAGGUACUGUUGGGGAGAGGUACUCUGGGG
ensembl:lncRNA